UCCAUCCAAAAGGAGGCUUUGAAGGGGAAGUACCACGGUGCUGGGAUGCCAUAUUUUCCUGAUGGACAAAAAAGAACCAAAGAUCUCACUGCUACGGUUUACCUGGGAAGACCAUACGGAUGUAACCCCCGACGAUGAAGUAGAGCAUGGAGUCGAUGAGCAUCAGCCAGCAAAGCCAACCAAACGAGGCUGUGUCUCCAGCCAUGGGCGAGGUGUAUGAGUUGCUCCACUGAAUUCCUGAAGAAGUCAACAGAGGAAAUGUUUUAUUUUGCCUCCCAUUUACUCAAUUGUCUUUUAUGUCAAAGAGAUCUUCUUUUAUGCUAGUCAGACACUCUAGUACCUUCUCCUUGGGACUCGUAGCGAGAGAUAUAUUGACUGGCGUAACUGAAACAGGUCGGGGAAAAUAAACUCUGCGGGAAAAAGAGAAUCAAAUUGGACAGGAUACCAAAACAGAAGCAAUAACAAAAAAAAGAAAUACAAACAAAUAAACAGUAGCCUCUUUUUUCCGCCAUGCCUUUUUGUAAUUUCUGUAAUUUGACCACUCUAUGGUAUGAAGUGAUAUACUUCAAAAGCCUUUCCUGACAUGAUAUGAAUCAUUUCGAUCAAAGUAAGGCUUUAGAUGAGUGGGAUGAAGUUAUGUUAAAUAAAAAAUGAAUUGUCUGACCUCAAAUUAAUGAUCAUUAGAUGUCAAGCACAAUAAAUUGUUGUAAAUUCA